rnacentral:rRNA from 1 species
UACGGAGGGUGCAAGCGUUAAUCGGAAUUACUGGGCGUAAAGCGCACGCAGGCGGUUUGUUAAGUCAGAUGUGAAAUCCCCGGGCUCAACCUGGGAACUGCAUCUGAUACUGGCAGGCUUGAGUCUCGUAGAGGGGGGUAGAAUUCCAGGUGUAGCGGUGAAAUGCGUAGAGAUCUGGAGGAAUACCGGUGGCGAAGGCGGCCCCCUGGACGAAGACUGACGCUCAGGUGCGAAAGCGUGGGGAGCAAACAGG